rnacentral:rRNA from 1 species
AACGAACGCUGGCGGCAGGCUUAACACAUGCAAGUCGAGCGCCUCGCAAGAGGAGCGGCAGACGGGUGAGUAACACGUGGGAAACUACCCUUUGGUACGGAAUAACACAGAGAAAUUUGUGCUAAUACCGUAUGUGCCCUUCGGGGGAAAGAUUUAUCGCCAUAGGAUGUGCCCGCGUCGGAUUAGCUAGUUGGUGUGGUAAUGGCGCACCAAGGCGACGAUCCGUAGCUGGUCUGAGAGGAUGAUCAGCCACAUUGGGACUGAGACACGGCCCAGACUCCUACGGGAGGCAGCAGUGGGGAAUAUUGGGCAAUGGGCGCAAGCCUGAUCCAGCCAUGCCGCGUGAGUGAUGAAGGCCUUAGGGUUGUAAAGCUCUUUCACCCACGACGAUAAUGACGGUAGUGGGAGAAGAAGCCCCGGCUAACUUCGUG